rnacentral:rRNA from 1 species
UGGGGAAUAUUGCACAAUGGAGGGAACUCUGAUGCAGCAACGCCGCGUGCGGGAUGACGGCCUUCGGGUUGUAAACCGCUUUCAGCCAUGACGAAGCUUUUGUGACGGUAGUGGUAGAAGAAGCACCGGCUAACUACGUGCCAGCAGCCGCGGUGAUACGUAGGGUGCGAGCGUUGUCCGGAAUUAUUGGGCGUAAAGAGCUUGUAGGCGGUUUGUCGCGUCGAUAGUGUAAACACGCAGCUUAACUGUGUGCCUGCUGUCGAUACGGGCUGACUAGAGGAGGGUAGGGGAGAAUGGAAUUCCUGGUGGAGCGGUGGAAUGCGCAGAUAUCGGGAGGAACACCAGUGGCGAAGGCGGUUCUCUGGACCUUUCCUGACGCUGAGAAGCGAAAGCGUGGGUAGCAAACAGG